rnacentral:rRNA from 1 species
CCUACGGGAGGCAGCAGUGGGGGAUAUUGCACAAUGGGGGGAACCCUGAUGCAGCGACGCCGCGUGGGUGAAGAAGCGCCUCGGCGCGUAAAGCCCUGUCAGCAGGGAAGAAAAUGACGGUACCUGAAGAAGAAGCCCCGGCUAACUACGUGCCAGCAGCCGCGGGAAUACGUAGGAGGCAAGCGUUAUCCGGAUUUACUGGGUGUAAAGGGGGCGCAGACGGCGAUGCAAGCCAGGAGUGAAAGCCCGGGGCCCAACCCCGGGACUGCUCUGGGAACUGCGUGGCUGGAGUGCAGGAGGGGCAGGCGGAAUUCCUGGUGUAGCGGUGAAAUGCGUAGAUAUCAGGAGGAACACCGGUGGCGAAGGCGGCCUGCUGGACUGCAACUGACGUUGAGGCCCGAAAGCGUGGGGAGCAAACAGGAUUAGAUACCCGUGUAGUC